rnacentral:rRNA from 1 species
AACGAACGCUGGCGGCAUGCCUAACACAUGCAAGUCGAACGAGACCUUCGGGUCUAGUGGCGCACGGGUGCGUAACGCGUGGGAACCUGCACUUAGGUUCGGAAUAACUCCCCGACAGGGGUGCUAAUACCGGAUAAUGUCUUCGGACCAAAGAUUUAUCGACUUUGGAGGGGCCCGCGUGGGAUUAGCUCGUUGGGAGGGUAAAAGCCUACCAAGGCGACGAUCCAUAGCUGGUCUGAGAGGAUGGUCAGCCACACUGGGACUGAGACACGGCCCAGAAUCUUACGGGAGGGAGCAGUGGGGAACAGUGCACAGCGGGCGAAAUGCUGAUCCAGCUAUGCCGGGUGAGCUAUGUAGGCCUUAGGGUUGUAAAGCGCUUUUAACCGGGAUGAUAAUGACAGUACCGGGAGAAUAAGCCCCGGCUAACUACGUG